CGCGUAGACGGUUUUGUAAGUCAGAUGUGAAAUCCCUGGGCUCAACCUGGGAACUGCAUUUGAAACUGCAUGGCUAGAGUAUGGAAGAGGGAAGUGGAAUUUCCGGUGUAGCGGUGAAAUGCGUAGAUAUCGGAAGGAACACCAGUGGCGAAAGCGACUUCCUGGUCCAAUACUGACGUUCAUGUGCGAAAGCGUGGGGAGCAAACAGGGUUAGAUACCCUGGUAGUCCACGCCAUAAACGAUGACAACUAGAUGUUGGGAGGGUCUGCCUCUCGGUGUCGCAGCUAACGCGUUAAGUUGUCCGCCUGGGGAGUACGGCCGCAAGGUUGAA
rnacentral:rRNA from 1 species